AGACCUCAGCACACAAAGAGGCCAGACACCGCAUUCCAUUUAAGAACACUUUAUUUGGCUCACUUUCAAAUCGUUCUUCUCAAAACAGCAGAAGCGAACAAAACGAUCAAAGCAGAUCGCCGACUUAAAACACAGCGAAGAAAACUUCUGGUAGAUAAAAAAUCAACUUCUUGCGGUCAUCUUUCCAGUAACAGCAAUAUUAUAUUACAUUAUAUAUAUACAUUACGUGAUACAUAUGUAUAUAGAGAGAGAGUACAUGUUAUAUAAUAUAUAUUACAUUAUAUAUUUAAUAUAUAUCUUAUCUUACAUCAUAUAUAUAAUAUAUAUCUUAGAUAUAGAGGAUAUCACAUAAUAUUACAGUAACAGUAAUAUUUUCUGUUUGUGCUGAUCAUUCCAUUGAUCGUUUCAACUGUCAGUCCUCGAGGAAGGCAAAACAGGCUCCAUUUCUACAUGGUCGGAGUCUUCCACAUCAGCCGAACUGGUUUCUCUUAAAUCAAGUUUCACAUAGCUUUCUGAAGUCGUGUCGAUCGUUUCUUAAACCAACUUUCACAUCUGUUUCUUAAAUCAAGCUUCACAGAGUUUUCUGAAGUCCUGUCGAUCGUUUCCUAAAUCAGGUUUCACUUCUGUUUCUUAAAUCAAGUUUCACUUCUGUUUCUUAAAUCAAGUUUCACAUCUUUUUCUGAAGUCCUGUCGAUCGUUUCCUAAAUCAGGUUUCACUUCUGUUUCUUAAAUCAAGUUUCACUUCUGUUUCUUAAAUCAAGUUUCACAUCUCUUUCUGAAGUCGUGUCGAUCGUUUCUUAAACCAACUUUCACAUCUGUUUCUUAAAUCAAGCUUCACAGAGUUUUCUGAAGUCCUGUCGAUCGUUUCCUAAAUCAGGUUUCACUUCUGUUUCUUAAAUCAAGUUUCACUUCUGUUUCUUAAAUCAAGUUUCACAUCUGUUUCUGAAACCAAGUUUCACAUUGUUUGCUUACACCAUGUAUGCAGGAAUUGGGUCCCGAGGCUGCUGCUUC
rnacentral:lncRNA from 1 species